AUGAUCCAGCUUCCUGUUGCCUUUAAAUCACCUCUGUCUUCAUGCCUCCUGUCGCUCCUGUUCCUCCUGUUCCUCCUGUUCCUGUCUGUCCUCCUGUUCCUCCUCUCCUCCUGUUCCUCCUCUCCUUCUGUUCCUCCUGUUCCUCCUGUUCUUCCUGUUCCUCCUGUUCCUCCUCUCCUCCUGUUCCUUCUGUUCCUCCUGUUCUUCCUGUUCCUCCUGUUCCUCCUCUCCUCCUGUUCCUUCUGUUCCUCCUGUUCUUCCUGUUCCUCCUGUUCCUCCUCUCCUCCUGUUCCUCCGGUUCCUCCUGUUACUCCUGUUUGUCCUCCUGUUCCUCCUGUGCCUCCUGUUCCCCCUGUUCCUCCUCUCCUCCUGUUCUUCCUCUCCUCCUGUUCCUCCUUUUCUUCCUGUUCCUCCGGUUCCUCCUGUUCCACUGGUUCUUCCUGUUUCUCCUGUUCCUCCUGUUCCUCCUCUCCUCCUGUUCCUCCUGUUCCUCCUCUCCUCCUGUUCCUCCUCUCCUCCUGUUCCUCCUCUCCUCCUGUUCCUCCUGUUCCUCCUGUUCUUCCUCUCCUCCUGUUCCUCCUCUCCUCCUGUUCCUCCUCUCCUCCUCUCCUCCUGUUCCUCCUGUUUCUCCUGUUCCUCCUGUUCCUCCUCUCCUCCUGUUCCUCCUGUUCCUCCUCUCCUCCUGUUCCUCCUCUCCUCCUGUUCCUCCUCUCCUCCUGUUACUCCUGUUUGUCCUCCUGUUCCUUCGAUUCCUCCUCUCCUCCUGUUCCUCCUGUGCCUCCUGUUCCCCCUGUUCCUCCUCUCCUCCUGUUCUUCCUCUCCUCCUGUUUCUCCUGUUCCUCCUCUCCUCCUGUUCCUCCUUUUCUUCCUGUUCCUCCGGUUCCUCCUGUUCCACUGGUUCUUCCUGUUUCUCCUGUUCCUCCUGUUCCUCCUCUCCUCCUGUUCCUCCUGUUCCUCCUCUCCUCCUGUUCCUCCUCUCCUCCUGUUCCUCCUCUCCUCCUGUUCCUCCUGUUCCUCCUGUUCUUCCUCUCCUCCUGUUCCUCCUCUCCUCCUGUUCCUCCUCUCCUCCUCUCCUCCUGUUCCUCCUGUUUCUCCUGUUCCUCCUGUUCCUCCUCUCCUCCUGUUCCUCCUGUUCCUCCUCUCCUCCUGUUCCUCCUCUCCUCCUGUUCCUCCUCUCCUCCUGUUCCUCCUGUCGCUCCUGUUCCUCCUGUUCCUCCUCUCCUCCUAUUCCUCCUGUUUGUCCUCCUGUUCCUCCUCUCUUCCUGUUCCUCCUGUUCCCCCUGUUCCUCCUGUUCCUCCUCUCCUCUGGUUCCUCCUGUUCCUCCUGUUCCUUCUCUCCUCCGGUUCCUCCUGUUCCUCCUGUUCCUCCUGUUCCUCCUCUCCUCUGGUUCCUCCUGUUCCUCCUGUUCCUCCUGUUCCUCCUCUCCUCCGGUUCCUCCUGUUCCUCCUGUUCCUCCUCUCCUCUGGUUCCUCCUGUUCCUCCUGUUCCUCCUCUCCUCCGGUUCCUCCUAUUCCUCCUGUUCCUCCUCUCCUCUGGUUCCUCCUGUUCCUCCUGUUCCUCCUCUCCUCAUGUUCCUCCUCCCCUCCUCUCCUCCUGUUCCUCCUGUUCCUCCUCUCCUCCUGUUCUUCCUGUUGCUCCUGUUCCUCCUCCCCUCCUGUUCCUCCUGUUCCUCCUCUCCUCCUGUUGCUCCUGUUCCUCCUCUCCUCCUGUUCCCCCUGUUCCUCCUCUCCUCCUGGAGGAACUCCUCCUGUUCCUCUUCUCCUCCUGUUCCUCCUGUUCCUCCUCCCCUCCUGUUCCUCCUGUUCCUCCUCUCCUCCUGUUCCUCCUGUUCCUCCUCUCCUCCUGUUCCUCCCCUCCAGCGUACACAUGUCUUCCAACCUCUCCUCCAACGGCUCCAGCUGCUCCGGUCCUGGCGACUGCUUUGCUCUGAGGAAGAGCCUGCUGGUCCUCAGCAGCUUCUCCAUCGCCAGUGUUCUGCUCGUGCUGCCGCUCUGCGUCCUCGUGCUCCAUCUCGGCGUCCGGCGCUGGAGGCAGCGGCGCGGCGUCUCCACGGCGACGGCCGGCAGCCAAUCAGACGUCUUCACCUACCACAUGGCGGUGAUGGAGACGUUGACGGCCGUGUGUUGCCUCUCGUACUGCGUGAGCGUGGGCGCCGACCUCCCCGUCGUCAGCGCGUGGCUCUUCAGCCUCUUCUUCUGUUUCUGGUCCGUAAAGAUCCUGUUCCAGGCGCUGACCAGCGUGGAGCUUUACCUGGCAGUGGUCCGGCCCGUGGCCUACCGCGGCCUGAGGGCGGGGGGGCGGGUCCGGGGCGUGAGCGCGGCCUGCGUGUGGCUGCUGUGCCUGCUGUGGGGGGUGCUGGUGGUCCGGACCCCCGCGGCCCUCGUUCCCUGCUACUUCUGCUUCUUGGCCGCGGCCUCGGCCGUCGUGGGCUUCUGCUGCGUCUCCGUGCUCCGGGCCCUGCGGCGCCGGGGCCCCGGCGCUGA
rnacentral:lncRNA from 1 species